GGGCCUGCCUGAAUUUACCUGCAUGCAUUUCCAUUCUUUAAUUUUAAUGUCUCGAGUAUGGGUAUUUUUCCUGCAUGUAUGUCUGUGCACCACUUUCAACUCUGGUGACCUGAGAGGCAAAAAAGAAGACAUAGGAUUCCCUGUAACUGAAGUUACAGGUGGGCGUGAGCUGGCAUGUGAGUGCUGGGAAUAAACCUGGGCCCUCUGAAAGAACAGCCAGUGCUCUUAACUGCUGAAUCAUCUCUCCAGCUCCCAACUUGGUGGGUUUUAUUAAAAUAAUGCACAGUAGGAAUGACCUUCCUUACAACAGGAAGCCCACCAUUCUGAAGCCUGAAACUCACAUAAAAAUAAGAUAAUCCCAUAAUUGUACAUUGGUUAAUGGGGGUCUCUCUAACUGAGUAGCUCAGCUAGACUCAGAAUGCUAAGGGACUCUGUGGCUCACCCAUUUCCCAUAACAUCAAAUGUAUGCAUGCUCUCAUAUAUGAUUGCUAUGAGAUAGACUUUGUUCGAGUGACAAGCUAUGGCAAUAAGCAUUUCAUUGUAUCUCUGUCUGUGUGUUGUAUGAUUUCACUUCAGACAUUCUUGAGAAAUCCCUAUAUUGAGCACUUACUAUACACAUCCAGUUGCGUUAAGGUUCCAGCGAUGUCUUGCAUCAGGAGGCAUAUCUAGGAGGGACCUAUGUUCCUGGAAACAAGGGUCUCUCAGAUGGCUAGGAGCUCACCCAGUAGGCUAUGCUGAUUGGUCAGUAGAGCCUGCUAAGAGUGUAUGUCUCAGACUCCCUAACACAUGCCACCACCACUGUUAGCUUUUAUACUGAUUUGGAUUCUGGGAAUCAAAUGUGGAUAAGCACUUUACCACCUGAGCCAUCUCCCUAGCUUCAGU